UGAUAGGCUGGGUGUGAAAGCGUUGUGAGGCGUUGAGCUAACCAGUACUAAUUGCCCGUGAGGCUUGACCAUAUAACACCCAAACA
rnacentral:rRNA from 1 species